AAGUCGAGCGGUAACGGGGCUUCACCGUUCUCUUGUCGCACUUGGCCUUUGAGCAAGUGGUCUGAUACGAGGGAACAGUGAAGCUGCCGACGAGCGGCGGACGGCUGAGUAACGCGUGGGAACAUACCCCAAACUGAGGGAUAACUAGUCGAAAGAUUAGCUAAUACCGCAUGUGAUCUUCGGAUUAAAGGAUUUAUCCGGUUUGGGAAUGGCCUGCGUACGAUUAGAUAGUUGGUGAGGUAAAGGCUCACCAAGUCGACGAUCGUUAGAUGGUUUGAGAGGAUGAUCAUCCAGACUGGGACUGAGACACGGCCCAGACUCCUACGGGAGGCAGCAGUAGGGAAUCUUUCACAAUGGGCGAAAGCCUGAUGGAGCAACGCCGCGUGCAGGAUGAAGGCCUUCGGGUUGUAAACUGCUUUUAUAAGCGAGAAAUAUGAUGGUAACUUAUGAAUAAGGAUCGGCUAACUACGUGCCAGCAGCCGCGGUCAUACGUAGGAUCCGAGCAUUAUCCGGAGUGACUGGGUGUAAAGAGUUGCGUAGGUGGCAUAAUAAGUAGCUAGUGAAAUCUGGUGGCUCAACCAUUCAGACUAUUAGCUAAACUGUUAAGCUCGAGACCGUUAGGGGUAACUGGAAUUUCUAGUGUAGGGUUGAAAUCCGUAGAUAUUAGAAGGAACACCAAUAGCGUAGGCAGGUUACUGGGACGGUUCUGACACUAAGGCACGAAAGCGUAGGGAGCAAACGGGAUUAGAUACCCCGGUAGUCUACGCUGUAAACGAUGGAUACUAGCAGUUUUGGGUAUCGACCCCCAGAGUUGCGAAGCUAACGCGUUAAGUAUCCCACCUGUGUAGUACGAUCGCAAGAUUAAAACAUAAAGG
rnacentral:rRNA from 1 species